rnacentral:rRNA from 1 species
CAUGCUAUUGGAGUCCGAUUUAGCAUGCUAGUUGUACGAGUUUAGACUCGUAGCAGAUAGCUCAGUAACACGUGCCCAAACUACCCUAUCGAGCACGAUACCCUCGGGAAACUGAGGCUAAUAGUGCAUACGGCUCGCUGCCUGGAGUGGCACGAGCCCGAAAUGCUCAGGCGCGAUAGGAUGUGGCUGCGGCCGAUUAGGUAGACGGUGGGGUAACGGCCCACCGUGCCAGUAAUCGGUACGGGUUGUGAGAGCAAGAGCCCGGAGACGGUAUCUGAGACAAGAUACCGGGCCCUACGGGGCGCAGCAGGCGCGAAACCUUUACACUGCACGCCAGUGCGAUAAGGGGACUCCAAGUGCGAGGGCAUAUAGUCCUCGCUUUUUCCGACCGUAGGAUGGUCGGCGAAUAAGUGCUGGGCAAGACCGGUGCCAGCCGCCGCGGUAAUACCGGCAGCACAAGUGAUGACCGCUAUUAUUGGGCCUAAAGCGUCCGUAGCUGGCCACGCAAGUCCAUCGGGAAAUCUCUCCGCUCAACGGAGAGGCGUCCGGUGGAAACUGUGUGGCUUGGGACCGGAAGAUCCAGAGGGUACGUCUGGGGUAGGAGUGAAAUCCCGUAAUCCGAGACGGACCACCGGUGGCGAAAGCGCUCUGGAAAGACGGAUCCGACGGUGAGGGACGAAAGCUCGGGUCACGAACCGGAUUAGAUACCCGGGUAGUCCGAGCUGUAAACGAUGUCUGCUAGGUGUGACACAGGCUACGAGCCUGUGUUGUGCCGUAGGGAAGCCGUGAAGCAGACCGCCUGGGAAGUACGUCUGCAAGGAUGAAACUUAAAGGAAUUGGCGGGGGAGCACUACAACCGGAGGAGCCUGCGGUUUAAUUGGAGUCAACGCCGGAAAU